rnacentral:lncRNA from 1 species
UUUUCUACAAGACAUGUACAAAUUCAUGGAUUGUUUUUCUCUCAUUCUGCACAAGUUUUCACAACAACUCAUGGGACCAUUAAAGGAAUCACACCAGCAACAUGAAGACACAACAAAAGAAUACAACAAUUAGAAUAUUUCCCAAAAAUUUACAUUUUCUUUUGAAACUUGUAAAUAUAGUUUAACAUGCAGAAUCAUCCAUCAUAAAAUUAAGGGUCAAAAACAUAAAAUGGAAAUCUAUUUAAACACCAAUUUAAAAAAGAAAACUAACAAAAUUUCUACCGGUGCUUGCAUGCUAUUUAAGAAUGAUUGAUGACUUACAACACCAAAAAUCCAAAAAGGUACAUAAAAGCAUGUAGAAACUUAUUAAAUAAAUAGAUCAAUGAGGUGGUUUUUCUUUCCUUCUUACUAUUUAUACUGAAAAGCAAAAACAAUUAAACCUUGAUAAGAAUAUGACAAUAUGGAAUAUUGAGUAGAAGUAAAUAUGAUAAUCAUACUUAUGACAAAAUUGAAUACAAUCUGUUUUCAAAAUUUAGCUUAUUGCAUUUCAUUCAUUAGAAAGAGGGAUGUAAAAUUGUAAAUAAGUAGAAUGAGUGACACUCACCACAAACAAAAAUCCAGCAGCCCUCAAUUAUGAGUUUGCAUCUUCAAAACCUUUGUCCUAUAUUAACAUUAACAUAAUAAUAGUUAUUUAACAAAGGAGAGUGACGAAAUUUGUGCAUUUAAUUUGAGACAGUUUGUAAUGUUUAAUCAACAAAAGAAAACAGAUUUAAAAAAAUAAAAAAAUGUUUUAAAUCUUGAAGUAAAAGAAGCAAACCAAAGGUUGAAGACAUGAAGGUAGCAGUCACAGUGGCUGAAGAGUUUCCAAAAACAAUAUUCCAAUCGGUGUGAUUUGUGGAGGUUGUUAGGGUGGACAAAAAAUCACAGUCUUGAAAAUUACCCAUUUUUAAUAUUGACCACUUUGUACAAAAAAAAUAAUAAGAUAGAAAGAUAUAAGAGAACGAGAGGAUGAAGAAUAUGCAAAAAAAAAAUUGGGAUUAGGAGGCUGGGCGGAGUAGAUGGCGGCCUGGAAAGUGAGAUGCAUGGGUUAGAGGAACUGAAUUUAGUUUUAGGGUUUUAAGUUUGGGUUGGGCCAUCGGGCCCAAUUAACAUUAUUCUUUCAGAAUUGCUACUCACCCAUCUGUUUUUGCUCAUUCCUAUCCUACAUGAGUUAACUCACGCUCGUUGAAAAUACACAUGUGCAAGUUAACUCACGCACGAUUAUUGCAAAAACAUAUGAGAGAAGAGCAAUUAUCUUUAUUCUUUUUGUUUCUCAUAUACCCUUUUAAUCCAAUUAACUUUUAUUCUUAAUUUUUUUUUUAAAACUAUUUGUAAAAAGAGGAAAAAAAUUAAUAAAUUAAAAUAAAUAUGAGAAAUAAAUAUUUUUUUGAC